CACAGCUUCCUCUAACAGUCAGGCUGUUCCCAGCCCUUGUGGAGGAGGCAGGAGACGGCCACUAGCUGGGACACUAGGGCAGAUGCAUUCGAGGUCACAGUGGAAGAAGCUACUCUCAUGAAUACCUGUGGGACAAAGGGCUGCUUCAUGCAAGAGAAAGUCCCUUUGCCCAACAUGAAGCCAAGUGCCAGUUCAACAGCUGUAAAGCGCACCCAUUCAUUCCAAGGAAGGAUUCAAACAGAAAUCCUGUAUCUUCCACUUAGGGUUGUGCAGCAUCCCCGAAGUCUGGUCAAAGAGCUUCACCUCAGGAAGUCUCCUUUCACUUCUAUCCGUGGAGGAGCUGGAAGGAUGGAGAGCCACAGGAACCUCUUAAACAUCCUUCCUCAGGGCGCUUGAGUGUUUGAGGUUUUCCCCACUGGCCCCACCUCACUGCCUUCCACUAGAUAUUCCCCCUUCAAGUCCAGGGCAGAGAUUGGCAAACUACCUGUGACCCAUCACUUGUUUUCCUAA